rnacentral:rRNA from 1 species
CCUACGGGAGGCAGCAGUGGGGAAUAUUGCACAAUGGGGGGAACCCUGAUGCAGCAACGCCGCGGGGGGGAAGAAGGACGCCGGGAGGGAAAGCCCUGUCAGCAGGGAAGAAAAUGACGGUACCUGACCAAGAAGCCCCGGCUAACUACGUGCCAGCAGCAGCGGUAAUACGCAGGGGGCAAGCGUUAUCCGGAUUGACUGGGUGUAAAGGGAGCGUAGACGGCAAGGCAAGUCUGGAGUGAAAGCCCGUGGCCCAACCACGGGACUGCUUUGGAAACUGUGUUGCUGGAGUGCAGGAGGGGUAAGCGGAAUUCCUGGUGUAGCGGUGAAAUGCGUAGAUAUUAGGAGGAACCCCGGUGGCGAAGGCGGCUUACUGGACUGUAACUGACGUUGAGGCUCGAAGGCGUGGGGAGCAAACAGGAUUAGAUACCCGUGUAGUC